CCAAGGAGUUUAACAUGUGUGCAAGUCAGUGGGACUCGAAUAAGCCCAGAGGCGAAAUGAAAGCAAAGACCGCGGAGAUCUCCCGGUCGAGUCGUGAUCCCUGUUCCUCAGUGAACGGGGCGCAACGGCGACCCGUCCCGUCCGAUUCAUUCGGUGGGGCGGAGUUUGAGCACACACGUUGGGACCCGAAAGAUGGUGAACUAUACCUGGACAGGACGAAGCCAGACGAAACUCUGGUGGAGGU
rnacentral:rRNA from 1 species